rnacentral:rRNA from 1 species
UGGGGAAUUUUGGACAAUGGGCGCAAGCCUGAUCCAGCAAUGCCGCGUGCAGGAAGAAGGCCUUCGGGUUGUAAACUGCUUUUGUCAGGGAAGAAAUCCUCUGGGUUAAUACCUCGGGGGGAUGACGGUACCUGAAGAAUAAGCACCGGCUAACUACGUGCCAGCAGCCGCGGUAAUACGUAGGGUGCGAGCGUUAAUCGGAAUUACUGGGCGUAAAGCGUGCGCAGGCGGUUGUGCAAGACAGGUGUGAAAUCCCCCGGGGCUUAAACCUGGGAACUGCACUUGUGACUGCACGGCUAGAGUACGGUAGAGGGGGGAUGGAAUUCCGCGUGUAGCAGUGAAAUGCGUAGAUAUGCGGAGGAACACCGAUGGCGAAGGCAAUCCCCUGGACCUGUACUGACGCUCAUGCACGAAAGCGUGGGGAGCAAAACAGGAUUAGAUACCCUGGUAGUCCACGCCCUAAAACGAUGUCAACUGGUUGUUGGACGGCUUGCUGUUCAGUAACGAAGCUAACGCGUGAAGUUGACCGCCUGGGGAGUACGGCCGCAAGGUUGAAACUCAAAUGAAUUGACGGGGUCAUAGCUGUUUCCUG